AAGUCGUAACAAGGUUUCGCCCCUAACGGAAGCCUUGUGCAGAACAGUCUGUCUUCUAAGGCAGGCGACGCUUGAUCGAUGCUGGGAGAAGAUUCCUUUGGAGCUCAACCAGCAGCCGUUAUGUCCGCAUUUCGGCUCACAGAUCAUCCUCAGGCGGUCUCCGCUCCCCGAGGGAUUAAGAUAUGACCGGUCCCACUUUGUAACGGGUGGAAGGCUUGUUCCGUAGGUGAACCUGCGGAAGGAUCAUUACCGAGAGCUUGGGGUCUAACCGGCCCCUCUCUUCACCCGUGUCCACGAAAACAAAUGUUGCUUUGGCGGGCCAGGGCUCUGUCCCUGGAUGGGCUUAACCUCCCCACCCGGUGCCCGCCGAAGGUACAACCAAACUCUGUUAUCAGUGUCGUCCGAGUAAACACAUAAUAAACUAAAACUUUCAACAACGGAUCUCUUGGUUCCCGCAUCGAUGAAGAACGCAGCGAAAUGCGAAAAUUAAUGUGAAUUGCAGAAUUCCGUGAAUCAUCGAGUCUUUGAACGCACAUUGCGCCCUUUGGUAUUCCGAAGGGCAUGCCUGUUCGAGCGUCAUUGCACCCCUCAAGCACUGCUUGGUAUUGGGCUUCGCCCCCGUGGCGGGCCUGGAAUUCAGUGGCGGUCCAGCGAGACUUCAAGCGUAGCAAGAUUUCACGAUCCCGCUUUGGAAGGUUCCUGCUGUGUGCCGGCCAGACAACCCCACUCUUUAUCAAUGGUUGACCUCGGAUCA
rnacentral:rRNA from 1 species